rnacentral:tRNA from 2 species
GCGAAAUUAGUUCAGCGGCUAGAACGCUAUCCUUCCAAGUUAGAUGUCACCGGUUCGAAUCCGGUAUUUCGCU